UGUGAUAACCCCACUGAUAUGUGUGCCCA
rnacentral:piRNA from 1 species